GUGUUCCCUUAUUCUUAACAGUUGUUCUUUGGAGUAUUAGGUGAAGUGAUAAAAGUAUAUUCUUUUACUACAUUUUACUUCUCAGUUUAGUUAUAACAUUGUGUUCAGGUCCCAAGUUUCAAUCAGUGUUUUUUCCCGGAUGGGGGUGGGUCGACCUUCAAAGUGUUACAUCAUUAAAAAAAAAAACUAAAAUAAGGGACCAAAGAAAGCACUUUGAUGAGAAGUGCAACAGUUGUGCUCCUGAAGAAAUUAGUUGAAUUUCCUAGUAAGAGUUUCACUCAGUUGUAAGACUCAUUUGUUGAUUUUAAAAAGGCCAAAUUCCAUUAUCAUAGCAUAUUAGCUACUCCAGAAACAGAAUUUCCUCUUCCUGUUGAUGCAGUCUAGUAUCAUGUGAAUGCCUACCUAAAAGAUUCCAUUAAAUAUUUAACCUAUUUUCUUUUUAAAGCAUCUAUGGAGUGUAUGUGCCAAGCACAGAGCUGUGCCUAGGAGUCAGCAGUGAACAAGUCAUUCAUGCCUCCCCACCUACAUGAGUUCACAGCCUGGCCAAGAGUGAAGCCCUAAGCCUUGGUGGGUUUUGACAGCUCAUGAGGAGACACAUCACCUUGCUGCCUGGUUAUACUUUUCUGCACCUUCCCAGCACACGUCUGGAUGCCUCAGAAGCGGACCAGGGAAUGAUCAGAUCAGCAGAGGGUGUGGCCUUGUCUUGCUUCCGGACAGCCCCCUGGGGAGUCACAGAUUGGUCCUCAGGAGGAUCACACCCCCGAGAGCAUUUGCAUGAUGAGGCUGCCUUCUGGACGCACGAACACAUGUCCCUGAGCUGGGGUGCAUCAGGCGAUGAGGUCUGGUCCCUGAGGAACACCGUCCCCAAGACAGACAGGUUUUCCUUGGAGGAAAUCCUCCCAUUUUCCCUGUGGGAGACACCUUGUUUCUGCUGGCCAGGCCUUCUGCCCCUUGCAGCCCCUUUCAUUGUGUCCUUGUCUCCCAUCAGCAGCACACGUCUGCCUCAGAAGUGGACCAGCGAAUGACCAGGUGAGCAGAGAGUGUGGCCUUGUCUAGCUUUUGGACAGCCCCCUGGGGGGUCACAGAUUGGUCCCCAGGAGGAUCACACCCCCGAGGGCAUUUGCAUGAUGAGGUUAGCACCCUUUGCUACAUCCCACUGACUUUCUAGGUCCUCAGGACAUUGUAACUGUUAAUUUCAG
rnacentral:lncRNA from 1 species